AGACUUACUUCUUACCAUCUUUCUUAAGGAUCUACUGACAUCACACUUAAGAUUAGUUCUGGAAGUGAAAGGUCUGAAGUCAGUUCCCCUGAGCCCAAGUCAAGGUGUCCACAAGCUUGGAUCCUUCUGGAGGAAGGAGGCUCCCAGGGGAAAAAUCUGUUGCAUUGCCUUUUUCAAUAUUCUCAUUGCUGCCUCUGUUCCUUGGCCUGUGACCUCUUCCUCCAUAGUCAAAGGACAUCACUCGAGUUUCUGCUUCCAACACCCUGUCUCCAUCUCCUCCGGUUCUGACUCCUCCUGUCUGCUUCACAAGGACUGCCAUGAUCACACUGCCACGGUGUGAGCAGCCCCAUGGAGGGACCCCCAGGGCAAGGAACAGAAGCUUCCAACCGACAAACCAAGGCUGGUGAGGAGCCAAGGCCUGCAACAGCCCUGCGGGACUGCAAUCGCGUCACCAGCCCUGGCCGGACCCCGAGAUGAACCUAGCCCUGGCUGGCGGCCCAGCUGCAAGCUUGCUAGCGGCCCUGACCCAGAAACCACCCUCCCAGCUAGGCUGUGCCUGGACCCCUGACCCUCCAGAACGUGAGCUAAGAGAUGCUCAGUGUUGUUCGAAGCUGCUGAGUCUUGAGGCAAUCUGUCAUCCAGCAACAGAAACCUAUCACAUAUGUGCAUGGUGGAACGACCAGGAGGAUGUAAUGCAAAAUUCGAUGAGUGGUUUUCCUCUAGGCAGGGGAAUUAUGGCUCAUUUUAGUUUCUCUUUUGGGACAUUGUUGGCAAUGUUUUUCCUUUUUCAUUAACUUAAAAACCACAUGACCGAGAGAGAUGAUAGAACUUUCACAGGAUAAAAGGUUAAAGAUUAACGGAGCUGAUUUUAGCUCUAAUAACCUUUAAAGACUCAAGUAAGUUAGCUUACAUGUAGCACAAAAACAAAAGCAAGAGAACCCUCCAGAGAGUGCACCUGAAUGGCCCAGUGGCAUGAGUUUCACCAGCCAGAAACCGCACAGUGCAUUCAGUACCUGCAAGGAAAGGAGACUUGGACAGGCUUCUGAAAAGAAAAAUCCAUCAGUCAUGAAGUCACCUGCUAGCCAAUCACGGAGUCUCGCUUACCCAGCUUCUGGUCAAACCGCCACGCCGCCACGUAGGCAUUGUGCCUCAGACUGCUAUGCGUGGCCAGGGGCACGGUGACAU